GAGAGCAGGCGGAGGAAGCUGUGGAGAGAGCCCGCUUGUGCCUGUGGUUUGCGCUUCCCUCCCCUCCGCCCCUUGCGU
rnacentral:pre_miRNA from 1 species